GCAGCCACUCAGGAGACAAUAGGACAGCUCCAUUUCUGAUCUCUCUGAGCCUUGGCUGUCCUGGGACUUACUCUAUAGACCAAGAUGACCUUGAACUCAGACAUCCUCCUGCUUCAGCCUCCUGAGUGCUGGGGUUACAGUAUUCCCAAAACACAGCAUGACAACCGUCUCUCCAUCGUCUACACUGUACUUGCUAUCACAAGUUACCUGGAGAAGAGCUGAAGUCCCCUGAAGGAUGUGGAGGUUCUAUGAUAAUGCUACAGAGCCUCACGUAAGGACUGGACUAUCAUGGGUUUUAGAAUCAAUGCCCCACAGUGACCAAUGGGUAACUACACUGUCUCUUGCCACCAAAGGACCUGAUUGGUAAUGGACUCCCUGAAGAGUUCACUAGCUACCAUUGUAUUAGCGUCCUUCAAUCUGAAAUAGCACCUCCUUUCUCUGACUCUCACAGCCUUCACUCCUGUGAGUUUGUAGCCUCUCCUCAGAGGGCUG
rnacentral:lncRNA from 1 species